rnacentral:rRNA from 1 species
GACGUAGGGCGCGAGCGUUGUCCGGAUUUAUUGGGCGUAAAGAGCUCGUAGGCGGCUUGUCGCGUCGGCUGUGAAAACCCGCGGCUCAACUGUGGGCGGGCAGCUGAUACGGGCAGGCUGGAGUUCGGUAGGGGAGACGUGGAAUUCCUGGUGUAGCGGUGAAAUGACGCAGAUAUCAGGAGGAACACCGGUGGCGAAGGCGGGUCUCUGGGCCGAUACUGACGUGAGGAGCGAAAGCGUGGGGAGCGAACAGG